rnacentral:tRNA from 2 species
AGCCCUGUGGUGAGGAACAUAUUGGAUUGCAAAUCCAAAGACGCAGAUUAGUAGUCUGCCGGGGCUU